rnacentral:rRNA from 1 species
AACGAACGCUGGCGGCGUGGCUAAGACAUGCAAGUCGAACGGACUGUCCAAUUUAUUGAACAGUUAGUGGCGAAAGGGUUAGUAACGGAUGGGUAACGUACCCUGUGCUUUGGGAUAGCGUCAGUUACUUCGGUAACUUUCCGAAAGGGGCGGUAAUACCAAAUAAUAUCAUUUGUCGAUAGGCAGAUGAUCAAAGAUUUAUCGGCACGGGAGCGGCCUGUCUCCUAUCAGCUUGUUGGUGAGGUAAUGGCUCACCAAGGCAUCGACGGGUAGCGGGACUGAGAGGUUGACCCGCAACAUCGGGACUGAGACACUGCCCGGACCUCCACGGAGGGCUGCAGUAACGGAUAUUGUGCAAUGGGCGAAAGCCUGACACAGCGACGCCGCGUGUAGGAGGAAGUCUUUCGGGAUGUAAACUACUGUCAGGGGGAAGAAAGUGCGCUUCGGCGUA